rnacentral:rRNA from 1 species
GAGUUUGAUCCUGGCUCAGGAUGAACGCUGGCGGCGUGCCUAACACAUGCAAGUCGAACGAAGCAAUCGGGAUGAAGUUUUCGGAUGGAUUCCUGGUUGACUGAGUGGCGGACGGGUGAGUAACGCGUGGAUAACCUGCCUCACACUGGGGGAUAACAGUUAGAAAUGGCUGCUAAUACCGCAUAAGCGCACAGUACCGCAUGGUACGGUGUGAAAAACCCAGGUGGUGUGAGAUGGAUCCGCGUCUGAUUAGCCAGUUGGCGGGUAACGGCCCACCAAAGCGACGAUCAGUAGCCGACCUGAGAGGGUGACCGGCCACGAUUGGGACUGAGACACGGCCCAAACUCCUACGGGAGCAG